AAGGACACAGGAGAGAAAAAACACAGUGAGCAGGAGGAACUGCGCCCACAGACAGAGUUCUGGAGGCUGCAAAGUCCAACAGUAAGAGCCUGCAUCUGCUGAGGGCCUUCCUGCUGGGACAUCCCAUGGUGGAAGGCAGAAGGGGAAAGGGCGAGAGAGCCAGAGAGCAAGCCAGCAAGAGGAGCCCCACACCGGCCUUCACAAAAACCACUCUCAGGCAUUGGAAAGUCUAAGCCAACUAUCCCCCACAGUUGGCACCCUGGAACAGGCGACUGCAGGAGCAGCAAGCAGCAGCAUUACCGGCCACUAGGCAGAGUACAACUAAUUCAGCCUAUCAUCAGUGUGGCUACUGGAAGCAUUUUUCUUUCUGAAAGUAAAACACAGGUAGCCCGGCUCUUAAAAACAAUCACACACAACGCUCACAGGCAUGUGCACAUUCAUACACACGUGUGCACACAUACAUGCCCACAUGCGACACACGCGUACAUCAUACAGCAUGCACGUGUCCAUAAAUGAGCUCACACGGACAGCCACGUCCCGCGCGCAGGCCCCCAGCGACACA